rnacentral:rRNA from 1 species
UACGAAGGGGGCUAGCGUUGUUCGGAUUUACUGGGCGUAAAGCGCACGUAGGCGGAUCGAUCAGUCAGGGGUGAAAUCCCAGAGCUCAACUCUGGAACUGCCUUUGAUACUGUCGAUCUGGAGUAUGGAAGAGGUGAGUGGAAUUCCGAGUGUAGAGGUGAAAUUCGUAGAUAUUCGGAGGAACACCAGUGGCGAAGGCGGCUCACUGGUCCAUUACUGACGCUGAGGCACGAAGGUCAGGGGAGCAAACGGG